rnacentral:lncRNA from 1 species
AGAGAGGAAAGAGGCUUACCUGCAUAUCAAAAUCUUCAAGUCGUCGAGUCCUAGGUCGUGUCGUAGUGGCCGGAGAUCGAAAGUGGUGGAGGUUGAUUGCGGUGAGUUUCUGAUUGAAAGGGGGCUAGGGUUUUAGUUUGUUUAUGUUUUUUAGCUUUAGUUUAUUUUUUUUUUAGUUCUGAAACACCAAACGACGCCGUUUAGGAAUCAGUAACCCGCGCGGUGACCUGAUUUGGGAAAGGAUCCGCGCGUUUCAGUCGUUUGGGGUAUUUUGGUGUGCGAUCCGUCACCUUUUAAGAACGUUUCAAUUUGACCCUCUUGGCUGUU